UAGGGAAUCUUCCACAAUGGGCGCAAGCCUGAUGGAGCAACGCCGCGUGUGUGAUGAAGGGUUUCGGCUCGUAAACACUGUUGUAAGAGAAGAAUGACAUUGAGAGUAACUGUUCAAUGUGUGACGGUAUCUUACCAGAAAGGAACGGCUAAAUACGUGCCAG
rnacentral:rRNA from 1 species